UACGGGGGGAGCAAGCGUUGUUCGGAUUUACUGGGCGUAAAGGGCGCGUAGGCGGUCGUGACAGGUCCCUUGGGAAAUCUCCGGGCUUAACUCGGAACGGUCAAGUGAUACUGUCGGACUAGAGUACAGAAGGGGCAACUGGAAUUCUCGGUGUAGCGGUGAAAUGCGUAGAUAUCGAGAGGAACACCUGCGGCGAAGGCGGGUUGCUGGGCUGAUACUGACGCUGAGGCGCGAAAGCCAGGGGAGCGAACGGG
rnacentral:rRNA from 1 species